GGACAUCAAGGUCUCAUCAUCAAGGGACAGAUCUAGUUUGCUUUCAAGAAACCAAGGUGAAUCAUCUGUCUACACAACUGAUGAGGAGCCUGGGAGCAGGAAGAUUGUUAGAGUGCAAAGCUAUGGAUGUCAGAGGUUUGUCAGGAGACAGUCUGGUCUCAGAGAAAUCAUAAAAAAUUAGGCAAAGUGUAACUUUUAUUUGAAAGUUAAUGUUUCUGUUUGUGCCACUUAAUAGAAAAAGACACAAAAAUAAUGAAGUCAUAAAAAGAAUUGAGCAAGGGAAGUGGUGAAUAUCAAC
rnacentral:lncRNA from 1 species